AUGCAAGUCGAGCGAAUGGAUUGAGAGCUUGCUCUCAAGAAGUUAGCGGCGGACGGGUGAGUAACACGUGGGUAACCUGCCCAUAAGACUGGGAUAACUCCGGGAAACCGGGGCUAAUACCGGAUAACAUUUUGAACUGCAUGGUUCGAAAUUGAAAGGCGGCUUCGGCUGUCACUUAUGGAUGGACCCGCGUCGCAUUAGCUAGUUGGUGAGGUAACGGCUCACCAAGGCAACGAUGCGUAGCCGACCUGAGAGGGUGAUCGGCCACACUGGGACUGAGACACGGCCCAGACUCCUACGGGAGGCAGCAGUAGGGAAUCUUCCGCAAUGGACGAAAGUCUGACGGAGCAACGCCGCGUGAGUGAUGAAGGCUUUCGGGUCGUAAAACUCUGUUGUUAGGGAAGAACAAGUGCUAGUUGAAUAAGCUGGCACCUUGACGGUACCUAACCAGAAAGCCACGGCUAACUACGUGCCAGCAGCCGCGGUAAUACGUAGGUGGCAAGCGUUAUCCGGAAUUAUUGGGCGUAAAGCGCGCGCAGGUGGUUUCUUAAGUCUGAUGUGAAAGCCCACGGCUCAACCGUGCAGGGUCCUUGCAAAUCGGGAGACUUGAC
rnacentral:rRNA from 1 species